rnacentral:tRNA from 1 species
AGCGUGAUAUUUUAAGUUAAAAUGUUUGUUUUACACACAGAAGAUGAGCUUUAGCUCUGUCGCUA